AUGCUUUCUUUGUCAGCACAUAUACUAAAAUUAGAACAAUACAGAGAAGAUAACACGGCCCCUGUGCAAGAAUGACGUGCAAAUUCAUGAAAAAAAAUUUAAAUAA